UUGACGUUCUAGCUCGGUGGAACUAAAAAAAAUGACUAUCGUUAGAUUCGGUGAGCUAUCCGUGCCUACAUCCAGGCCUGUUUAAACGCACGAACAAACGAAGCGAGGCGACGUUUUGUAGGCAAAAGGAAAGGGAGUGAAAGCUACCGAAGGUCGGCGCAUUUUCUAUUCUGCCCUGCGUCUAUGGUAACAACAGAUGGACUCGUUGCGCCAGUGUGCCACUGCCGGAGUCUACUGUGCAUUUAGGGAGGGAACGACUGGGCAAAAGCGGAAGACAGCGCAUCAACAGUCAGAUAUGUUUGGAAGCUAUCUGGUUGUUGCAAGAUGCUUGUAAGCGCCAGUUCGGAAUUUAAGGAUAGGUACGAAAAACGAGUUUGAACACUGAAGACUGAAGACUGCAUGGAGCAACAGGUACUAAACUAAGAUUUAGAUUAAAAAAAAAAAAAAGAUUAAACACAACUCAUUCUGGAAAUAAUGGCGAGCAGAAGAAAAUCCACAACGCCUUGCAUGGUGGCUCCUGUUGAAAUAGUAGAUUCAGACCCUGACAUGGAGGUUGUUACAGAGGGAGAUGAAGAGGCUGAAGGGGGGGCUGCUGACUGCUCAGUGGAAAACAUAACUGAAAGCAAAUCUAGCGAAGACGACACACAGGCCAUCGACCACUUUAUUAAAAACAUGGACUCGAGUAUGGCAGAAGGAGGUUAUGAGUGCAAGUACUGCAGCUUUCAGACCUCUCAGCUCAAUAUGUUUACCUUGCAUGUGGACACUGAGCACCCGAAUAUAGUUUUGAACUCAUCCUACGUGUGUGUCGAAUGUGAUUUUCACACCAAGAGGUAUGACGCAUUGUUGGAGCAUAAUGCACGCCACCACCCUGGAGAAGACAAUUUUACCAGGACUAUGGUGAAGCGCAACAAUCAAACCAUCUUUGAGCAGAGAGUCAACGACUUGACAUUUGACGGCGGUUUUGUUAAGGUUGAGGAGGAUGAGGACACCUCCUGUAAAGGCAUUGCCCUAAGCAAGACGCCCAUCAUGAAGCUCAAGAGUAAAGCUGAUGCCAAGAAAUUCGCAGGGUCACUCAAAAUGGCCGACCUGAAUGUCAUCAAGGUGGAGAGCGAUGUGGAAGAUGAGACAGAGGUGGCCCCGCCUCCUGGCACUCCCACAGUAGUGGCUGUGUCAACCCCUAUGACUGUUCAGCCCAUUCAGCAGAGCAUAAUGGUCAACAGCCCAAGCAUGCUUCAGAUAAAAACGACAAACUCCAACACCAUGCUCCCUCCAGGGACGCUGGCUCAAGUCCUCUCUGCUUUGCAAAAUCAGCAGGCCUCCCAGACCCAGCUCCUUAUCCCGGUCAGUAGUAUUCCUACAUAUAAUGGGGCCAUGGACAAUAAUGUCCUACUGGUAAGUGCCUACAACAGGUUCCCUUACCCUUCUGUUUCGGAGAUAAUGGGGCUAGCAGCCCAAACCAAGUUCACAGAAGAGCAGAUAAAGGUGUGGUUCUCUGCCCAGCGGCUGAAACAUGGUGUUAGCUGGACUCCAGAGGAGGUGGAGGAGGCCAGGAGGAAGAAGUUCAAUGGCUCAGUUCAACAGGUACCACAGACCAUCACUGUCAUACCAGCAAAUUUUGCCACGGCAGCCAAUGGACUGCAGUCCAUCUUUCAGACCUGUCAGAUUGUAGGGCAGCCAGGGAUGGUUUUGACUCAGGUAGGGGGUGGUGGCAAUGCUGUCCCUGUGGCCUCACCCAUCACAUUGACUGUAGCUGGGGUAACCAAUCCCAGGACCAGUGCCAGUAAGGUGCCAGAUCCUUCCACCUCUGACACCGCUUCUCCACUCAGUCCUGAUCCUCUGGGAGCACGACCCAAAAAAUCCAAGGAGCAGCUGGCGGAGUUAAAAGCCAGUUAUCUGCGGAGGCAGUUUGCCACCGAGGCAGAAAUCUCUCGGUUAAUGAAAGUCACUAACCUCACCAAAAGAGCAAUAAAGAAGUGGUUCAGCGACACCCGCUAUAACCAGCGCAACUCAAAGGACCACCACGGCGUUGCCUUAAAUGACAUUGCAGUCAGCGCCAACAGCAAUGAAGGCAGCUCUGCCAUUGUGAUUGACUCCAGCGACGAAGCCGGUGACUCCUCUCCCACAACGCAAGGGCCCAUCUAUGAUCCACGAAUCAAGUUCCGCCAUGCCUUUCCUGACUUCACGCCUCAGAAGUUCAAGGAAAAGACUCCGGAGCAGCUUCUACUUUUGGAGGCCAGCUACCAGAAGUCUGACAAGCCUAGCGAUGAGGAGCUGAGUAGGCUGAGGAUGGAGACUAAACUGACUAGGCGAGAGGUGGAUGCCUGGUUCUCCGAGAGGAGAAAAAUGCCAGCGGAUUUGAAAGAUGGAACAGAGGAGGCAAAGGGUGACCGGGUCAAAGGACCUUCCUCUGGGCAGGAGCCUCAGACUCUGCCCAGCGGCCGAAAAAUAAUGAAGAAAACCCCAGAGCAGCUCCAUAUCCUGAAAAGCGCCUUUGUUCGUACCCAGUGGCCCUCCGCUGAAGAGUACGAUAAGAUGGCAGAGGAGAGCGGGUUACCCCGAACCUACAUUGUUAACUGGUUUGGAGAUACACGUUAUGCAUGCAAAAACAGCAACCUGAAGUGGUACUACUUGUACCAGAGUGGAAAAGGUGAUGUGACAAUGAACGGAGGUGGACUAAAGAAAAAGCCACGGAAACGAUUUCGAGGUUGGUCAAGGAGGACGAGGCGGCCGUACCCCUGCAAACAGACACCCCCUGCUAUUAAAGUCAAGACAGGUAAAGAUAUUUUAAAGGAGCACUACCUCAAGAAUAACGUCUUAAAUGAGAAAGAUUUGGAUGAACUGGUGGCCAAGUCCAGUAUGAGCUAUGAGCAGGUGCGAGACUGGUUUGCAGAGAUUAGCAGGAGGGAAGAAAAUGGCCUUGACCCCUUCAGCGAUGUAGAAAAGCAGACACAUGUUGAGGGUGAGGGUGAGAUGGAAGUGAAAGAGCAAGGGGGGGAUGUCGCUAACGAAGAACAUAAAGAUAAUGAGGACAACAGUGAUGAGGAUGAAAACAAUAACAACAACAAGGAUGAAGAUGAAAUCAAUGACAGUGAAACCAGGGAAGAGCCUCAAUGUAUCAACCAAUCACAGCCAGAAGCAGAGGAGCAGUGACUAAAGGUCCAGGAGGACAAUGAACCCAAACACACAACUAAAGCAGGCAAGGAGAAUGUUCUUGACGGGCUGACUUAAUCAUCCAACCUGAAUCCAAUUGAGCAUGUGUUGAUCACUGAAGGUGGGACUUUAGGCCAAAAUGCCAGAAAACAAUCAGGUACUGAAUAUGGCAGCAGUAAAUGCCUGGUAGAGCAUCACCUGGAAAGAUACUCCGCAUAGUGAUCUCUAUGAAGCAAAAACAUCAGGCAGCCAUUGUCUGCAAAGGAUUGGCAAGCAAGUAUGAAAUGUGACUUCAGAAGUAUGUAAAUGUGUCCAGUUACAUUGGUUCCACUAAAAUGGGAGGCGCUAUGCAUUGAUAGGCCUGUAGUUCCUACAUGGUUCACAGUUUCUGUAUACUUAUGGACGACACUGUAUUUGACAAGAUGUUGACCAUGUUCAACAUUGGAAGAAAAAAAGGAAUACAUGUAAAUCUUGAAUAAUCACAAUUACUACAUAAUACUACAGGGCACAUUGGUGCCCUCAAAUAACACAAAGACCUGUAAAACAUUUUGUAUUUCCACAUGCGUGGAAGACAAGUGUACAAAUGUACUUAGAAUAGAUUGAAUAGAAUGAUUGUGCUUGAAUCUGCAAAAGCGAAUUGCUCUUUCAGAAAAAUGUAUCUUGAUAGGUUCAAUCAAGAAGUUGUUUCCUGAUGUGAUAAUGACUGGCUGUUGACUACAUCACCAUAACCAUUUACAUGUGGACAGAUUUCACAUUGUUUCCCCACAGAAGAGGAAGAGAUGAAGGACACAGGUGAAAUGUACCAAUUAUAGUUGCAAAAUUCUGGUAAUUUCUUGGUUUUUGAGAAAUCCUGGUUGGUAGAUUGCCUAUCAUCUUCAUAUUCCCUGCUUAUUCUGGAAAACACCCAUACAAGAUUUCUGGAAAACCUCAGAUUUUGGGAAGGCUACUGGAAUUUUGCAACCCUAGUACCAAGUCUUUUGGUGUUAUACUGCGUGGACCAACCAGACACAAAGAAACAAGACAGGAUAUUUGAUGCCAAAUAAUUUCAGCAAGGGAUUCUAGAAAUGUUUUACCAUAGCUUUGUUGAAAAUAAAAUUUGGUCUUCUGGGACAUUUUAGUAAUAUUUUACCUUGCUACCUUCAAUAAAUCCAAGAGGUAAAACCUCACCUCUUUCUGGUAGGUUAUGUGAUAACUUUGAACCCUUUUUAAAAGUUGUGAUAUUGUGUCCAGGUUCAAGGGAAUUUUCCUAUGUUUUUUCUUUGAUGUACUGACAACGGUUUUAAAAACCUCAAAGUUUUGUGAAUAUUACGUAAAUGAGUGCCAUCUGUUUUUGAAUUAUGCUUUUAAAUGGAACCUCUGCUUUAGUUCCACAAACUGUUUUCUAUAUGUAUUCAAGUUAUUUGUUAGUCUUAGAAUUACACAUUGUUGAGUAAUCCAGGUUUAUAUUCUGAUCAGUUUUUGGGGGGGUGGGUUUCUUUGAAUGCUGGCUUUCCAAAUGAAAAAGGUAUGUGUGCUGUAAAUCAGGAUUUAGUAAAUAUUACCUCAGUCUUUUAAGCUAAGAGUUGAAGAAAGUUACAUUUUUCAUUUUAGUUAUGAAAAAACAGUUGAAACCGGUCCAUUAUUAAUGUGCUUCAGAUGGCAGUUUUUUGUAAAGUAACAAACUUACAUUGAAUGCAUAGUCAUGCUUUUUCAUACAAAUUACGGGUUGUUAAAAUCUUUCAGGUGUUAAAUGACAGUUAACAAUAUAGUUUGAAGAUACUACAUGUAUGGUUCCUAUAAAUGAGAGAAUUUUACUUAACUUUUUUUUUUCUCUGCUCAUUUUCCUCUUAUCUUAUAGGACUAUGCUAAAAUCUGGAUGUACAGGUUUUUGUAUGCAACUAGCCUAUACAUCAAAGAACAAUCAAUUGAGGGAAAGGGGAAUUGUAAAUUAUUGUUUUGGUUCUCUAUAUUUGAAGCAAUUACAAGGAAUCUUAUAAAUUCUGUACUAUGAUAUAAGCCUUUUGCCAUCCUUAAUUGCUGUAAUAAUGACAAUUAUGUUUAGUUAAUUUAUUUAUUCUAUCCUAUCUGAAACUAAAAUAAACGUUGCCAAGAAAAUGUA